UCUGCUUACCAGCAGCUGUCUGUACUCUGGAUUGUUUUGAGCCUGUCUUUGCAGGGCUUGCUGGGGCCUGCCAAGUUCAGCUGCCUGCAGAAGCACAGCUCAGAGCCGUCGCUAUAGGCCUAUUCCUUGCACAGGUCCGGCCAAUCAGAGCUCUGUUACCAGGCAGAGCCUCUCUCCGGCUCUGGUCACUGUCAUCCUAGCUGUCCAGACACCCUUUUGCAAUUUUUGUUUGAAUUGAUUUUUUUAAAAGCACCUGAUAUAUACUUUUCUUCUUAUUCUUCUCCUUCUAGUCCUCUAUUGGAGGCCCACCACAGAGACACAGGAAUGGAACUCAGAAUCACAAACAAAGAAACCUCGGUGCAAGAAAGAAAAUGAUCUUUAAAAAGACCCUGGUUUCAUGCUUGCCAAUGCUGAGACAAUCGGCUCUGGAGGAUAUUUGGAGACACCGAUUAAAAGAAAUGUGGCAGCCCAAGACCCAAGCAAUGAUAGGAUUUCCCAGACAUUCCCAAGGGAGACAAUCCCAUGUGCUUUCCUUCUGAUGUCACAUCAGAAUCUGAAGGCUGCUAGAGAAGGGAGAGGCACAUGCAAGUGCAUCCCAUGCUGAUUGUUGUUGAAAUACCUGGAAAGAAACUGGCAAAGACUAUCCAAGAGCCAAGGAGCAUCAACAUUUGGCUUCAGAAAUGCUGCUAAAUCCUGGAUAAACAAGAGUGAACAAGCAAGGGAAAUUAGCUGUCAUGUGAGGAUACUCAAACAGUUUAUAAAGAGGUUCAUGUGGCAAGGAAUGGAGGCCUCCUGCCAACAGCCAUGUAAAGGAGCCAUCUAGGAAACAGAUUCUCCAGCCCCAGUCAGACCUUCAGAUAAUUACAGCCCCUACCAAUAUUCUGACUGCAGUGGAAGGAAAGACCCUGAACUAGAACCACCCAGCCUCUCCCAACUGUCAUCCUGAAAUGCUGGUGAGAUUGACUUCAAGGAACACAGUCAACUUUUGUUUUUGGAGACUGUAGAGUAAAUAUUGAAGAUCUGGAACUGUUUGGCUCAAGACUUCAAAGCCUUGAAUAAAGCUGCUGGAUGAUUUGGAAGCCACCUGGCCGGAAAUUUAACUUUUGCAGUUUGGGGUAUUUUUUUCCCUUCCCAUCCUUUAAUUCCUCCCUCCUCCCUCCAUCCACUUCAACAUCAAAUUAGCAAUUUGGAUGCCAUAAAUGUAGUGUGGACAUGGGUACCAGCCAAGGUCACGAGGCUCAGUAUAUAAGAAGUGAAUGCCAGCUGUAUUUCAGACAGAAUUUCCAAGGCUGGAGAGGCAGAGGGAGGAAAGAUCUGGGUUUCCUGAUUGUGGCUUUUCCUCCCUUUUCUACACACACACACACACACACACGCACACGCGCACACACACACACACACUACACUUUUCUACUUUUAAUUUCCUGUUUCUAUUCUGGCCCUCUCCUAUCUGGAUUCAGGUCUCCUCCCUUGGUCCCCCUGCCCAUAGAUUCACUAACUCAACACAUAUGAAGGUAAAAUUAGAGAAUGGUCUGUAUGGAACCAAACCAAUAAAAACAAUCCAUAGACUAGAGUGAUCUCCAAAACUUAACAAAGGCUUUUGAAACCUAAAUUCACACUCUGGGGCAUGUGGAGGAGGGGGUGGCUAAUAAAUGUAAUAUACUAAGAGAACUGGAUUCAACAAAUAUAUCAUAAUUUUAUUUGCCAGAAAUUAAAUAAACAUGACUCUAAUUUAUGAGUUCACUAAUCAUUGUCUGUAUCUUCAGUAUUAAAACUAAGAUCAAGACCAUCCUCUGUAUAUAACAAGAAACUAUAUCCAGUUAUCUGUCUACAUAUCAAUAUCUUUAUCUGUGUUUACAUCUAUAUCUAUCUAUAUCUGUAUCUGUAUCUAGCUAUCUACCUACCUGUGUAUAUCUAGAUAUAUUAUAACGGCUCAGUAUUUGCAUUCUGUGGUCAGUGCACAGCCUACAUGCAUGCACUUUGGUGUAGUUCAGAGUCAGACUCAAUUUCUGACUUCUAAACACUAAUAUUUCUUUAUGGUGCAGAACAUCGUACCACAGUACUCCAAAACAUCGCCCCCAUAAAAUAAUCUACCCAAUUCGAAAAACUAAAAUAAAAGCAAAGAACCAGCUGCAGCUAUGCAUUUGAAUUAGUUUGAUGAAGCCCAUCCUUGUAUGUUAUUGUGAACAUUGUAUUUGAUUUGGGGUGAUUUACAAAGGGGGUUCAUAUACCUGGGUCCUUUUAAAACCCUAAAACAAUCUCUGUUUAAACAGUGGGUUUAUAAACAUGUAUCCUUCACUCAUCAAGCAUUUUUGAGCUUCUGCUAUGUGCCAGGAUGGUAUCAAGACUCUGAGGAUAUAGAGUCAAAGGAGUAUAGUCUUUGUCUCAAAGAAUUCACAGUGUCAUCAGGACUCGGCCGAUAACAGUUGGAGGUGAUGGGUGUCGGGAAACAGGUAGUAGACCCAGGGUACAGGGGAACCUCUAGGAAGUGGACUUGACUUCCCAGAUGCUCUCUGGUGAAAGUAUUUUUCCUGGAGGGGGUGAUGGUGCCUUGGAAGAUUCACAGGCGUUAGCCAGGUAGAAGGAAUGUGGUGCUCAGUCUGAAUGUGUUCAGGGAGCUGUGUGUGCAAGGCACAGUCACCCCAGAAGAGCUCCUGCCACUGUGAUUCUGUGCCUGGAGCCUCCAGGGCAAGACUGUCCAGACUGAUGAGAUGGUGAGCGAGAAACAAGAUCCCAAAGGGUUAAAAAAUCUCCAGGUAAUUUGCAAACCAAAGGUUACCAUGUUCAUGUUUGCGUUUUGUAAAGAUGUUUCUUCUUUAGCUCCAGACUAUGAUUAUCUCCUUGAGAAUGGAUCUACUUUCUAUCAGUUGACAUAUAUAGUUCACAAAGAAAAGACUUACUAAAUUAGAUUUCGUAGAAUAUGAAGCACCAAUGAAAAGCAGAACACAGAACAAACAGAAGUGUUGAGUAUAAUGUAUGCCAACUUUUUAAAAUACAGCCGAUGUUGUCACCACUAUUUACCAAUUGGUUCAGCAGGUUUGGUAAACUUUCAAGGACUGGCAGGUUUUUAAAACCUUUAGCAAUGUAAUGCUAAGAGAUGCUGUCUUUGAGGACUUUCAGAUGAACCCUGGAGUGGAAGGUUAGAGGAAUUGUCAGGUGGGAAAAGAGGAAGAAACUUGUUCUGGAACAAUUUCAAAAGGGACCAUGUGUCCAGACUGGAGACAGAGAACCUUAUCUGAUUCGGGCUGUAGGCUUGACUUGAGGCAAAGAGGAGGUCUCUGGAGUCAGACAGCCUUCUGGGGGGAAUCUCAGCUCUUUUGCUUGCUGGCUAAGAACAUUUCUCUGUGCCUCUGUCUCAGAUACUCACCGCAGCCUACCACUUGGGGCUACUGUGAGAAUAAAAUAUAAGUUAACGUAUAUCCAAUGAUUAGACUCAUGCCUGCACCUACUAGAUUCUUCAUAAAUGUUGACUGUUAUCAUACUCUGUGAUUUCCAUUAUAAAUUAAAUGAAGCACCUGGCACAUGAUUAGAUGCAGUAAACAUUCAUUUCCUUUCUCAUUCAAUACUGAGCAAAUAGACAUGGAGUGAGAGGUAUGAUGGAAAGAAUGUAGUUCAGGAGACAGGGGCUUGGUCCAGAUGGCCUAUUGAUGAUCUGCCCAGCUCUGAAUCUUUGGGCCUCCAAGCAGAGCCAGGGGUCUGCCUAUGGUGUGUGACUCUUUGGUUAUUACUGUACUGAGCCCCCUGCCCUGCACAUGGAGAUGCACAAGCAAACCUCGCAUCUUGGAAAAUUGCAUCCUCUCCGAGGCCAGGAAACUGCUCUGUGCCACCCUGCUUCCCAGGGGUCCCAAAUAGUCUUCCUCAGUUCAAAUGCAUUUGCAUGUCCUCCAAGUCUGACUGGGGCUAGAGGGGAUUUCGUGUAAUCCCUGGCUUAUUUCCUUUGAUUUGAAGCUCUCUCUGUCUCUCUCUUCAUUUUUACCAGGGUCCCAAGAGGUGAAAAGUCCCCUUUAGUAGGUGCCAGGUUCAGGAAUUCGCACAAUCCUCUUAGACUCUGAAGAGCCCUGAGAUUUCUGUUAGUACAAUGGCCUGAUUGUGCCGCCCCAUUGCAGUCCACUGACAGGUCGGCAGGCCAGCUGAAAGCUCAUCUUAAACAACCGCCUCCAACCUUAAACCCAAACACCACGACUGCACUUCUGGAACCAGGUUUGUUUUCCCAGAAUAUCAGUUACAGCAUUUUAAAAAUGAGCAACCUCAUUAUCAACAAUGUUUCUGAGAAGCAAGCAUUCUUGUAGAAAAUGCCAGCUCUGCAGGGCUGGCAGGAGCUGCACGGCACACACAUUCUCUUGCCCGCCACCCCCAGCCUCAGGCAUCACUCAGCCAAAUCCACGAGUGCAGUUUAGCAGAAAUGAACACCAGAAUUUCAUUCCUAUAAAGGAGUGAGGUUCCUGGGUGCGGAAGAAGGGAGUGAGAUCUCCUUCCUCAGAGGUCCUGGAGAACAGGAGAGAAGCUUGUUCCUAUAAAGAGUCAGCCUCACUUUACCAGAGGGAAUCUUGGAUUUGAACCUGGGUUUUAUUUCCCAGCUUUGGUAUCUACUAGUUGUGUAAUCGUCAACAAAUAUUGAAAUUUUCCCAGCCUUAUUUUUUUUUUAAUCUGCUAAAUAGUGGUAAUUAUUGUAAAGAGCAAAUGAAAUUAUACACGGGAAAAAGACUUGCAAAUUAGAAGGCCUUUAACAUUUAAAAAGGAGUAUCUUAUUCCUCUUAAUAUGAUCUCUCCUUGUUUUAUAUAUACAUGUGUAUGUCUGAACUAAUCAGGCUGCUCUAACAGGAGACCACUGACUGGUUGGUUUAAGUAACAGAUGUGUAUUUCUCACAGUUCUGUAAGAUGGAAGUCUGGGAUCAAGGUACCAGGCUAGUCAGGUUCUGGUGAAGGCCCUCUUCCUGGCUAUUUCCUGAUAUAACUGAGAGCAGAGAGAAAAGAAGCAAGCUCUCUCCUGUCUCCUAGAAGGACACUAAUCCCGUCAUGAGCACUCCACUGUCAUGAGCUAAUUACCUCUCAAAGGCCCUGUCUCCAAAUACCAUCACAUUGGGGAUCAGGUGAUCAUAGAGCAGCCUGUAGCUUAUCUCUCUUCAAUUAAAUUGCAAACCCUUAAGAGUUUUGGAGGACAACAGUUAAUUCAAAUAUAAGUUCAAAACACUGCUCUUGACACAAUGCGAGGCACAGAGCAGACAUAAAAUAAAAGUAUGGAGGAAUUAUUAAAUAUUAUUCAUUAUUUAGGAAUGCAGGAAAUUAUAUAACAUAUUGUUUUUUAAAAAAUCCAAGUGUCCUUAUAUCUACAUACAGAUAUAGACGUAUCGUGUGUAUGUGCAUAUGUUUCUUUCUCUGCAAAGUGUAAAUAUCUCUUUCUGGAAGACUCAGCUCUGAAGGAUUUUUUGUGUUUGAGGCAGCUUGGUGGCUUAUGGAGAGCAUGGAACCUGCACUGAGAGAUACUUCCAUUCAGAAGACCUGCUUCUUACUCCUAUAGUCCCAGCUACUCAGGAGGCUGAGGCGGGAGAAUCGCAUGAA